rnacentral:rRNA from 1 species
AAAGCUUAGCUAUUUCAACCAAUAAUUACUUAAAUUAUCCUAACCCCUUAACCCCUAUUGAACCAUUUUAUAUUAUUAUAAAAAUGAUUAUGUUAGAACUAGUAACAAGAACUUGCCCUUCUCCCCAUGUAAACAUAAGCCAAAGCGGACACUCCGUUGGUAAUUAACGUAAAUGCUAAACCAUAAUAACAUACACUAGAAAACCUUAUGGCCCACCCAACGUUACCCUAACACCAGAACAUUUUAGGAAAGAUUAAAAGAAGGAGAAGGAACUCGGCAAAUUUUAGCCCCGCCUGUUUACCAAAAACAUCGCCUCCUGAUUAAACAUUAGAGGUCUAGCCUGCCCAGUGAUAAUAUUAAACGGCCGCGGUAUAUUAACCGUGCGAAGGUAGCAUAAUCACUUGUUCUUUAAAUAAGGACUUGUAUCAACGGCAUCACGAGGGCUAUACUGUCUCCUCCCUCUAAUCAGUGAAACUGAUCUCCCCGUGAAGAAGCGGGGAUUUAUAUAUAAGACGAGAAGACCCCAUGGAGCUUUAAACCCGACACACACCCCCUCACUCAAAUACCUAUUUAACCCGGGGUGCCUCUGCAUCGGUUUUAGGCUGGGGGGGCCACGGAGUAAAAUCAAACCUCCAUAACAAAUAGGCUAAUUACCCUUAUCUAUGAUUUACAAAUCUAAGAAUUAUUAAAAUAAUGUUAAAUGACCCGAUAAUUCGAUCAAUGAACCAAGUUACCCUGGGGAUAACAGCGCAAUCCACUUUAAGAGCCCAUAUCGACAAGUGGGUUUACGACCUCGAUGUUGGAUCAGGGUAUCCUAGUGGUGCAACCGCUACUAAUGGUUCGUUUGUUCAACGAUUAAA